UUAAGUGGGUGUUCAUGCAUUGGAAUUGAAUUGGAAUUACUUGGAAGUUUGUUGGUGACCAAGGCUUGUUUUAGGGCUGUUUGAUUGAGCUUGGAGGGACUGUAAUUUUGAGUUGUGAGGCUGCCUUGGGUGAACUAAGUGAUCAGACAAGAUUCAGGUCGAGAGGCUCCUCGCUAGGCGUCUGGAUUCUGGGAAGCGAAGUAGUCCUUGGGUGUAUUUUGGUUUCUGGUUGUAUAUAUGUAUAUAUAUGUCUAGCUUACUCUCCAAGUAACUUAUGUAUGCUGCUCCUCUUAGAGGUUGAGGGAGAGUUAGGAGUUUACUUUGAUAUUUUGAUGUAUUUUGGGGAUAUCUAUAUAUGUUUAUAUGUAUAUAUACAUCCUCUGGCCAGCCUUAGCUUCGCAGGCUGAGUCAGGGGGCUAGUUAAGCUGUU